CUGGAGUUAUUAAAAAGUAAUCAAAUUAAUGUAUCUAUAAUUUGGCUUUUUUGAAAUUAUCACUUCUUCCUUAUUUUAUGGUGUACUAUCUUUUUGCUUUCUUUGAAGAUCUCACAUCAGCAGAUCAGCUUGUUAAGAACACAAUAGCAUUCUGGAAUCUAUUGCACAGGUAUAUAUUGCUGCUUAUUAUCAGUAAGUUUUGUCACUAAGCAACCUAUUUGGAAAUGCUAGGGAGACAGCUCAGGAUGCUUGGAUGACAUUUUUUUUCUUUAUGACAGGAUUCAAGUUUUACCUAAAAAAUAUAUAAUCUCAUAACCUACUUCCCCCGAUAGGGAAGCUGGAAAAGCUGCUUUUAAACCAUGUUGGACACUCAAGCUUUUUGACUUGUUUAUGAACGCUAGUGACUGGAAGCAAUUCUUAAAUGACUAAAAAGACUAGGCACGGGGGAAGUCCUGUCUGAAGCUGGUAUUUACAGGGUUCCUAGAGGAGUUAGCAUCACAAGAAAACAGCUGAGGUAGUGAAGGUCUCAGGUAGGUUUCUAAAGUCCACAGUUCUGUUCUAUAGAAAUCACUGGGAAUCCUGGUAGAGCUCGCUUUGAAUAUGCAAGCUUUCUAUGGAUUGCUAGAUUCUGCAUUUGAAAACUACAAAUAAAUUUGAAAUUGUUUACUUUUGUCAGUGUGACUUAGUAUCUUACUUAGUUUAGUAAAGGUGAAGAAUGUAAAAUUUUGUUCUAAUGAAGUUACAAUUUAUAAUCCUUACAGAACCAAAGUAACAUAAAUCAGUUAAUGAUAUUUAUAAAUUCACUAUGUAAGUAACAAUAUGUUAGCUUAGUAUUUUUAUUGAAUCCUUCAUGCUGCACAGAAGUCUCCCAUCUGAUAUUUAUUGCUGAACUAUCAGGUGCUUUCUUUUGCUGUGCCAGCAGCUUCUAAAGAAAAGUCAUGUAAGUAAUGACCUAAUUUGCUUUUCUAGAAAAUAAGGGCGUAUGUUUAUCUAGAAAGAGCUUGAUUAAUCAAUCCUAUUAGAGCUCAUUUUACAUUGCUGGUUGGAAGCUGAAAUCAAACUCCAGUACGAGAAAAGGAAGUGCUCAAACCAUGGUUCAGUUUCUGAAAGAUUUGCUAGCAGAGUAUUCCUUUUUUUUUAUCAGUUCUAAGACUUACUUGGUGUUAUAAAAGAGGUCUGGGUUAUGGAAUUGGGUGCUUUCUUUUUUUUCUCUCUAACCAGUUUAUCUACCAACAAACAACCUGUGGAACACCAUAUAAAUCCUUUAGCAAAUCAUCUGGCUUAUACUGUCAAACUGUUAACAAAAAUUGCAUCCAUGUUCCCCUUUUAUUUUGACAAAAUCCCAAGACAUGCUACUUAAUUUGGUCAUUUUUGUAGUAAAAAUGCAAGACAUUUCUUAGAAAAAAAAUACCUUUUGUGAUAAGUCUUACUAAUUUUAAUUUUUGAAACUGUGUGUUUUCAGUUCUCAGUGGAUAAUAUGUAAAAUUCACCCUAAUAACCAACUGGUCUUUGAUUUAAAAAAAAAAAAAAGUCUAGUGGUGAGGUUUUGGAAAGGCAAAAUGGUAGAAGUACAGGGAAACUAUUAAUUAUGCUUAAAAUUGUAUAAAGAUUGUCCCUUUUAAAUGUUGUAUUGAUCUGCCAAAAUCCGUCAAAAGAAUUCUUGAUAAAUCUAUUAUUGCUGCUGUUUCUAUCUGUUCACAAAAAGUUGUGUUAACAGUGAUCUUUAGCUCUCAUUUGUUGAAAAAAAAUCAGAAUACAGAACUGAGAUGACCUAAACUGCCCUUUCUGAUUGAUCUGUAUCUGACAGCUGUACAGGCCAGUAGUAUCACAAACUGCAAUUUAAACAAAGCCAAGUGAGAAAUCCUAUUUGGAAACUGUUGGGAACUGUUUGAUAUUAAGAGGAAAACAGUUUGAUAGGCAAAUUUUCUGUUAGUGUAUGCACAUCAACAUUCCUUGAAAAAAUAACACUACUGAAUGCCUUAAAAGAUGUCUUGAAUUGUGUUUGUGGCUGGGCUUGUAUUAAAUUAGUUGUUCUUGCCAUGAAGAGAAAGAACAGAUUUAUAGAUACAGUUCUCACCAGAAUGCUUUUACCCUGUUGUAAUUCCGGAAGGCUCACUGUUGGGAGCUGUCGCUGCCUAUAGAGGUAAGAAAUUGGAUAUGAGGUCUUUCUUUCUACAAUAGUUCACUCUGCAUAAUAGAACAUAAGUUAAUGAAGUUCAACUGUUACUUCACAACUUUUCCCAUUGUAUGAGAUGAGCAAAGCCAUAGAAGGCAGUUAUGGAGAGAGAACAUAAAGGAGGAAAUUAUGGCUAACCCAGGUCUGUUAUCUAUGUGAGCAUUGAGCUGAUCAGUUCAUUUGUUCCAUGCCUCAUUUUUCCCCUUGUUAGAGAAAAGUUUAAUUUGUGCUUGUACAGUAUUUUGAGCAUUGGUCUUAAACGUCACUAAUAGUACUAUUUCUUGUCUGUACUAUACCCAAACAUACAACGUUGAUGCCUGGCAUUCAGGCCAAGUCAGAAAUGUACAGAAAUGUCUUUCUUAUUGCAAUUUUGCUUCAUUGUGAUAUCAGGAAGACCAUUAGUGUUGUACAAAAAUAAACUUGUUACUUCAUCCCACAUACUGGAUGUGGUAGGUUUCAGUAGCAACCACAAAAUUGCAGUCCCACGGGACCACAAAAUUAGAAGAAUGUAUUGUUAAGUGCAAUUACAAACAACCUUGCUUCUGCUUGUGUAAGCACAAGGGCUUCACAUUAUGCUAAAAUUGUGUUUGAACACGAAAUUGUAAUCUUACCACAAAGUUCAGAAGUAGGUGGAACAAAGCAAGCAUACAUCAUGAGGACCUGAGUUCAAAGAUCAUUCCUGUCAGUCAGAAAAAACAAGACAGUGAUAAACUAAGUAUCCAUGUAAAAUUUGCUAUGCUUGGAGUCUACCACCAAGGGCUACCUUCAUCAAUAUUCUUAAGUGAAUAAAGCUGUAGAAGAGCAUCUCCACAGGGAGAAAAAUGUAUUGAGCCUCGAUCUUGGACAAGUUGAGCAAGUAUUUAAAUUGGUGUGCUCCUGUACUUAAUGGGAAACUGUGCAGUAACAAUGUUUGUCAAGAUCCACAUCAGAAACUCAGCACAUAAGUACACUGAGAGUGGGUCUAAUGAAGACAACCUAACCGAUAAUCUGAAUGAGCUCAGACAGAGCCAUUUGAUUUGCCUGUGUGCUUUUAGUUCUUGAAAUAGAGGUUAAUUUAUGAACACCUGGAAGCAUAUCUUCCAUGUUCCCAAUUAACUUUUAAUUCCCAAAUAUUUCUGUAAAUAAGUAGCAGCUAAACACAGACAGCAAAAUUGCAGCAUCUCAUUUCCAGUUUGGAAUGCACUGACUUCUUUCUUUGCACAAUCCAUGCUGCUGUGGUGACUUCAGGCUAUAGAGGAACCCAUGAGAAAUGCGUAAAGCUCUUUUUAAGAUUAAUCCCUGAAGAUCAGUCCAUAUUCUAGGAAAAUAUAAGUGAUUCACAGUUUAUUAUUUCAGUUCACAGAUCUGUUGCAAUAUCCUACAAAUAAUAAUAUUUUUAAAAAACGGCAUUCACCAUGAAGGCUUUAAAAGAUAACAACAAUUGAAGCUAGUCAAUAUAAGAUGUGAAGUAGGUCUAGUAAGUUCUGCCUCGUUACUCUAACAAGUCAAGUGCAGCUCAAGGGUUAUGAUGAGAUAAGUUUAGCAAGCAAAUCUUCCUCUGGGUUCUUUCUUCACUGUGAUUUUUUUUUUCAGUGGCAAAUGCAGUAUGGACUUGUCUUAGCAGUUUCUUGGCUUUCAGAACAGGUAUGAAACAAUGCAAUCAACAACCAGUCUUAGGUGCUUUUGAGGAAAGGCUGGGUAAUAUUCGCCAGUGUGGGCAAGUAUUUGUACCUAUAAAGCAAAAGAAGUCACAGAACAAAAUAAGUUUCUCGUGUCAUAUUUGUAAUGCAUACAUAUAAAUAUGAGCAGCUAGUAUGAAAUAUUAUCUGUAACACAGAAAGAAAAACAAAGAAAAAGCUAGCAGCUUUUUAAAUCAUAGAAGUUUUUUAAACCGUAAGUGAACUCAAAGCAGACUAAUGGACCAUAUCUUAACUUGUCAGAAGAACCGUGAUAAGUUACUGACAUCUUCUAGAUGGCUGUUGCAGUUCACUUCCCCUAAAUCUUCAUUGAAAUCAUUAGAAAUACAGCAAAAAAUAUUGUCACAGAAAACUGCCAAUCUGUUACAGUUGAAGGAUGUGAUGAUAAUUUUUAUAUUCUUCCUAAUUAUUGACUAACAGACACCUUUAUUAGCAGGUACUUUCUGCUCUGUGUUUUGCUGGUGUAAAUUCAAAUUCUGCUAAAGUUCACUGAUUUACUCAAAAAUUAUGUAGAUGUAACUGAUAGCAGAAUUUGGCCUUGUGUGCCCUUCCAAGAGUGUUACAUUUGAAGAGAUAAAGAGUAAUAUUGAUUUAAUGGCAGGUGAACGGGAAUAUUAAGAAUCAUCUGUAAAUAUUUAAAGGCUGCAAAGAUAAACAGGAGGCAAUUUUCUACUGCAUGUUCCAAGAAAGGUUUUAACUUAGUGUACAGGGAUAAAACUGAGCAAAGAAAAAUAUAUAAAAGUUAUGGAAGCAUUAUUUGUAAAAAACACUUCGAAAUCGGUCUUAUAAUGUGUAAACAUUUCUCUGUGAAUGAAAGGACAUCCGCUGUGUAAUUUACAAAAUGACAUGAGGUUACAGCUUUGCUAUUGUGUUAUAAAGCACUCUAAAGCUGCCUAGUGGAGACCAAAAUAGGGCUUGAUGUCUGCCUUUCUGAUUUCUCAGCUGAAAUGGAUUGAUUUCUCCCUCCUGCUGUUCUGUCUUUGGGAAGGACAUGCAUGACCAUCUGAAUCCAGACAGACAGCUUUUUCAAGUUGACUUGAUAUGCUGAUCAGUUUUAAACAUGCACGAAAUCAGCUUACCACGAAGAAUUCCCAUUCUUUCAAGAUGUUUUUACUGUGAAUGACAAAAGUGUUGGGUAGCAAAUCUUUUAGUUAAGUUGAUUUGGGUCCAGACAAAGAGAGUCAUAUGAACAUGACAUUAUCAUCUCUUUCCUAAUGUACAUUACUUCAUUUGCAGCAAUGUUAAAUAUCACCAGAACAUCUUUGAAACGUAGUGGUUUCAAUAGUAGUUCAAGGCCUGUUCUCCCCCUCUCAGUAAUGGAACCUGUACAUAUAAAUUUAGUGUCUUGAGCUGAGUAGUUACCAGACUUGAAGCUGGUUUGGUAGUCUCCCAGAAGUCUUAUUUUAAGUGCCUUAAACUGAACCAUAACAACAUCUGCCCAGCAUAAAUUAUAAUUCUCCAAAAUGCUCUGUACUCAUUCAUAUAAGUAAUUUAUAGUGACCGUUUCAACUUUGUUCCAAUGAACACUUUCAAAUCCAGGCAGAAAUAGCAUCACUCCACAAACAGGGGCAUGCCUUCUUCAGCCACUCCUUGUGUGCAUCCAUAUUAUCACUGUUCUGCCUGCCUAUUUCCGCAGCAAAAUCCCUACCAGCACAAGCCAACUAAGCCUCCUUUUUUGAGACAUAAAUCUUUCCUUGUUCACCAAUAAACAGUGGAAAUUGCAGCAGGUCAGUGAUAUGAGCUUUCCCUCAAGCUUGACCAGCUACACAAGAGAAUGUGAAUGCUUCUGUUGACUAGCUUUUUGGAAACCACUGUUUGACAACCAGUUGUUAUUUUGGAUAUACUUUUAGCCAUUUGGGGUAAUUUUUCCCAUGCCCAGUGGUUCCCAUGGGACCCACUGCCCAUGGAAGUGGGUCUUUCUUUCAAGCCAUCCAUAAAUCAUGGGAAGUCCUGCAAGCUGAUGUUACUAAAUGCAAAAUGAUACACACCACUCUUGUGUUGAUAAGUAGCCUACUCAGCUCUGUUUAUGGAGCCUUCCUGCACCUCUGCAAGUUUCACUUGAUUUCUAAACCUUCAAAAUAAUUCAGGGAAGUGCUGCAUAACACUAAAGGAUAUUUUACUUUCCUUGGCACAGUGUCAAUUUCUACUGUUUUUCAGCAGAUGGAAGUUCAUGUGCCCAUCUGAUCCACUGAUUCUUCAGGUCUACCUUUAAUAAUGGGCGCUACAUGCAGUUCUCAAGAAUGACAAAGUCUGGGGUCCCUACUGCCUGUGAGUCACUUGGUAGCUGGCAGUUAUCAUGAAUCCCAUCAAAGAUGAUGACAUGCAAAGUGAUGGGUGUAGCACUCCACUCAGGAUCUCAAAAUUUUAGUGAUUGGAAGGAACCUCUGGAGAUAAUCUAGUCCAAGCCCCUGAUAAAGCAGGUUCCCUAGUAAGGCAAAGAAAAUUGUCUUGGCAGGUUUUGAAUAUAUCAAGAGAAGGAGACUCCAUACCCUCUCUGGGCAGCUUGUUCCAUCACUCUGCCACCCUCACAAAAUUUUUUCUCAUGUUGAGAUUGAACACCCUAUGUUUGUGCCCUUUGUCCCUUGUCCUUUUGCUGGGCACCACUAAAAAGUGCCUGGCUCUUGUAUUUUGAUGGUAUUUUGGCAUGUCAUGGUAUUUUGAUUAUUUGAUAAUACCAUAAUUGAUAAUUUAUUUGAUAUUCAGACAUGGUGAGUAUAGCCAAAGCAUGAAGUGAUAAUACUUCUCCUCCAUUCCUGGGGACCAACAGGCAGUCCAGAUGUGCGCUAGAAACACUUCUACUUACUCCAAAGAUCUAACCACACUUCCUAAGUACCAUGGAUCUGAGGACUACUUCCACACCAAGUAGCUAUGGUCAGGACUUGGGGAUGCACUGUUCCUGACACUGAUCAGCUAGAUCAGCCUUGUAUCUUCCUAUCUCCUCCUUCUUCACUAACACAGCAAGGAGAAUUUGAAGAGACAGGGGAAGAGUGCAGGAGAAGUCAAAGACAGGGUCAUUUCCUUGUGAAAUUAAGAAACAAAGUGUAACAGCUGUCAAAGCUGAAUUCUAAGCUUUAGACUUUCAGUGUUGCCUACCAUGCAAAAAUAAAUAAACAACCCCUUAAAAAAAAAAGAAAAAAAAAAACAAGAACAAAAAAACAAAACAAAAAAAAAAAAAACAGGAAAGAAAUCAUGUCUGCAUGAAAACGUCAGUAUUAAGAGUUCUUCAACACAUGAGGACAGAUCCAGACCGAGAGAUAUAGAAUUGGUGUACAAGAGAAAGCCCUCAUUUGAACUAAUGGAACAUAAAACAAGAAAGUUACAUUCACCUAGCAAGUAGAUGAAAUUGUCUUUAACCUCUAAUACGUGAUUACGGUAAAUUAUCUGAAUGGAUUCCACAGUGAGUCUCCGAACCAAAACCACACUACAAUCACCAAUAAAAAAAUAUCAUUUCUGCUUUUCUAUUAAUGAUGCUACUUGAAUGGGCCAUCUAAUGUCCCUGUUUAUGCAGUGUCCCCGUUCCUACUGUAAUGAGAAGACCAUAUACAUAAUAAACAAAAAUUAUAACAAGUGCUGUUUAUAUUAUUCUAUUCUUCCAAUGAAUAACACAGAACAGAUCUUUGUGGGGGCUGCCUGCUGUCACUUUUUUAGCUCAGUAUUUUGCCCUUGGACCUUUCCAAGUGGAAACAACUGAAGGACGUGAUGAGAGAGGCAGUGCGGGCUGGUGUUGGCAGAGCACUGGUUUGGGAACCAAAAGAUUAGCCAUGGAUUCACAACUCUGUCUUCUGCAAGUCAUCUCAAUCUCUGCAAGAUAUGAAGAGACAGACUUAGACAUCUCAGAACUGUUCUUGGUGUGAUUUUAUUGUGCCCUAGAAUGUAGGGAAGGACCAGAAGUCCCAAAUCUGAGGCUCCUUCAAGCUGCACUAGCAAGAGCUCUACAGGGGAGUCAGUGCAACCAGAAGUUGCUUUGGCUGUUCCACUUCCUACUCAACACCAACCACCUUUCUGAAGGCUGUGUGAGCUACCUGCUCCAAGUCCCUGGAAAAGAAGAAAAUCUGAAACAGUUUCAUUUCCUGGAGGUCUUCCUGCCUCUGGGUUUCUACACCAUGCUUUAAGUGGGUGUAAGCCUUGGACAGAUCUUGCAAGUUCUGCUGUUACAUCAUGAUAUACCAAGAUAUAACUCUGCUACAAGAAGUAAUUUUUGUUCAUGUCAUGAAAAGCAAGAUUGAUCCAGAAAUAGCAGUAAAGUUACUCUGUAUCCCUAUGAACUAACUUCUGUGGGAAUAGCCCUGGGAGAAAAAGAUGAGCAUAUUUGGCAUAUCUGUGCUAUACCUUCUCCAGAUUAUGAACAUGAGUUUAGCUCAAACAAGAUGUAAACAAAGAUUUUUUUCAUGCAAACUAGCAUCCAUACAUUCCUGUCUCCUACUGGGAGUGAAACUUUUCCUCUAUUCUCUCCAAAGAACGUCAAGGUGUUUGAUCAUUUCUACCUGCCUGUAGGAAAUUAGCAUGCAAAAUCUCAGUGAGAGCCCUUGUUUUGGAAUGGGAAGAUGAUUAAACAGCUCACUGUGUUAUUUUCUCUUACCCAUACUCUCAUAUGCACCAAGACCUGUGUGCCCAAGUGGCCUGGCCAGCGUUGCACCCUGUGACAUGAAAGAUGAUGGAGGCCAGGUGUUACAUCCUUAGUACGUAUUUUGAUUUCAUUUUGGCUGGUGAUGAUAAACUGGUUUUUGAACACAUCUUUUAUAUAAGCUUAGGGAGUCAACAGUUGUAAUGAGGCAAUACUUUUCUUCAGAAGCUUGUUGGUAUCAGUCUCUAACUAUCUUAGGUAAGGUUGCUGUCCAUCAACUUUUUAUUAAUUGGUAGUAUCUAUUUGGCUAAAAAUCUGUUUCAUUUGUGAGUUAACAAGAAGAGGAAUAACAAAUGCAGGGAAGUAUAACUGUUUUUGUCAUUGUCCUGUGAUCAGUGUUCAAGUCUUCUGCACUGUGGUCCAGUCCAGUGUGGGCCUUCUGAUCUUAAUGCCAACAACAUACUAGUGGUUUUACUGCUGUUAAUUGAGUCCUUGCAUAUCAAGAUAGACCAUUUUCGUAACCCCUGCUGCAUUAUUUUUUCUCCUGUUUUCAUACAAUAUUCAGGUGUUUUGUCUGUAAAAGUAUUUUUGUUACAAAUCUCUUCGUGCUGGCCAACUCAACUGCAGCAAGCCCCAUUUUCCUAAAGAUGAUAUGAUAUGGCCGCAUGUUUAUACCAGGCUUAAGAGAGUUUUAUGGAACUUGCUCAAAGUCCACAAUACUUACCCGACCACAAUAGUCGGUUUUCUACCCCUUCUUCUCAGUUCCACCAGCAGCCUGCAUAUUCAGCACAGCAAGAACAAAUACAGUAUGACUUUCUGCUUUUGAGUGAGGGACUGCUCUCCCAGGCCUUAAAAUAGACAGAGACUUUCAAGAGAUUUGAAAAUGGAACCUAGGAGCCCAUUGUGCAUUUUUGAAAGACAUACUCUGUAUCUGUAUCACAUUACUGCUCAGCUGCUUGGCUUUUCCUAGACUAUCUGAAAGUGGAUAUGUGCUUCUGUGUUCCAAAGGGGGCUUAUUUUAAUAUUGUAUUAAAAUACUGUCAAUGAAAUCUUGUUACUUUAAUUAGGUGGCAACCACUGCAAUCUUGGGUCUUAAGACUUUGAGUAAGAAAAGGUUGAUUGCUGAGAUAGCUUUCUACCAGUAUGGACUUCACAGAAUUUAUUUUACUGCAAAUGUUACUGCUGUCUUUCUCGAUGUCUCCCAAAUUUUGCUGGGCACACAAUGCCAGAACAAUGUAUAUCUGAAAAAUAAAAAAGAUGCAUGUGUGUUUUCCAGAGAGAGUGAAUUCACAGACUAAAAAGACAAGCUUAACCAAAAUGAAAUAUCUUUUAGAUAAGGCUUUUCUAAUGCAAUCAGGAGCUCUAGAACUUACACAAAAAAUUCUUAUUCAGACCUCUUUGCUAAUACUCCAGAAUUCAGAAACCUGUUGGCUGCAGAUCAGUAUAUGGGAUGGACUUGUUUUGUUCCAAUUCAGAAUUGCUGAACAAUAUAAGACUAUGAUGUAAACUUCAAUUCUCGACUACACACCAUUUUGUCUUAGUCUAGGUAUCAAGACUCUGUGUGUUAGGACUGCCAGAUAUUCCAGUGAAAUCACAAUUUCUGCUAUUAUGUAAUUUCUGAAUCAAGCAAAAGAAGUGCACAUAAUUUCUUCACCCUUCCCAUAUUGUAUUCACUCAGCUGCAUAUGCUUAACAAGAAAUUGUAAGUAGGAAGCUGUCCCCUGCUCUAGCAACUCUGGGUCAUAACAGGUCUUGGUAGUCACUUUCCAACUGGACUGACUAAAUGCAAAAGCAAUACAUCCUAGAGACUUCAAAGAAUUUAUCCUAGUUUUCUGUACUAACAUCUAGCAACUGUGUUUAACCCAGAACCCUAGCCCCUCUUGCCUUCCAGGAUGUUCUCAGCACAUGGGGAUCUUCAGAUGCCAUGAUCAGCCCUUGUCUUUUUUCCUCUGUUCUACUGAAGGGAGAAAUUCAGGCAAGAUCAAGGAUACUAGGACACAAGAGAGUACUUCCCACAAAGUACUCCUUUCAACAGAGUGACUUGCUGGAAAUCUGUGGUGGCAGCUAUGUCAGCACAAUUUAGAGAAGCUGUUUUAGUCUAUGGACUAGCCUUGCUAUAAGAAAACUGAUAAAAGUGAUGGAAACCUGGGAUGAAAAGCCAGCUCUGCACCCUCUUCUGUCCACUAUGUUCUGCUGCCCUAAUGAUGUGUAAACUGCAAAAUUAUGCUUCAAACAUUUCUUAGGGAAAAGCAAGCAACGCUUGGAAGUAAAUAUUACAAUACAUAUUUUAAAGACAGUGACGUCUCUGAGAGAUUAAGCUUUUUCUUUAUAGGAGUCACAUGCUUCGGGAAUGAGCAGGUCUUCAGACAGAACUAUAAAACAAUGUAGGAAAUCAAUGUUCUGUCCCUGUAACAGUGGCCAUGAGACUUGUUUCCCAUCUGCUUUGGCCUCCCACAGAGGCUCUGUAGCUGUGCUGAAAGGGCGUGAAAAUAUUGUGACACUCCUUGCUAAAAAUUACGUAUGAACUUUGCAUAGCUGAAAAAUCAUGAGACAAAAUAAAAGGCAGUAGAGAAAGUGGUAUGAAGAUUUUCACUGUGAGCAAAAGGCAGAAGAUAACUUGAGCACUUGCUUCAACCAAGACAGAGAGGCUCUGAAAUGCCACUUGGUACAAUCCCCUCUCGAGAGUGUAGUCCGUAUUUCAUACAUCACUGAUUCUGACUUCCCACCUUCAAAGUUGCCAUCUCUUCCUUGUCACUCACAGUACUUAGACUUGUGGCCUCAUGUUACAUCCCUGUUAAAGGGAAACUGAGUGUCACGCCUGAUUUGCUCACUUCGGUUGUACAUCCGGGUACUCUCCUUACUAAUGUUGGGGCAUCUCAAAUGAUACAAGUUCUGUGCUGUGAAAAAAUGCCAGAUAUAUUAGCAAAAGUAUUUGCAUAAAGCUCAGUAAUUUUUAUCCACCUCAUGUAUUGAUGAACCCCAUAAAACUAAUUAAGAUGGAUGUCUGAUCAUAGAAUCAGAGAAUCUUUUGAAUUGGAAGGGACCUCUAAAGGUCACCUCGUCCAAAUCCCUUGUAAUGUACAGAGACAUCUAGAUGAUAGACAUCAGAGAAAGAAGAAAACAGCAUCAGUGAAAAAUGUAAUCAAUUAAGUUAGACAGUCUCAAGAAGAAGAGGAAAUGAGGAUGCUCAUAAUUUACAAAAAAAAAAAAAAAGAGAGAGAGAGAAAAGAAAAAAGAAAAGAAGUAAAAGAAAAGAAGCACUAGGUCUUGAGAAAAAGAAACGGUGAAACAGUAGGGAGGAAUUGCCAUUUCCCUCUCUCUAGUUCUUUAAUGCAUUAUGAAAGUCUUUGUCUUACAAAUGUACUGAGAUAGCUCUGACAGGAAGGCUUUUGGUUUAUUUCCUUGGAGACUACAAGAGAUACAAAAAGCACAAUAACACUAUUUGAUGCAAAACACUAUUUUUCAACAUAGUCACUACCAUAUGUUAUUCAUUUUCACUGACAAUGAACAAGAACCUACCUGCUGGGCUUGUCAACAUCUGCAUGGCUUUCCAGCACAUGACUUGUCAUUCACAUCACUGUUGCCACUGCUGAAACACACCACUCACCACCUCAGUGUGUUAACAUCCACUGUUUGUUCUCCAUAAAUGUUCAGCAAGCAUCAAUGAAUGUCAAUGGAUGUUUUUUUUUUUUUUUUUCCUGCAUGGAGGAAUUCA
rnacentral:lncRNA from 1 species